UGUGGUUCAGACAAAAGCUCCCAGAAGGAAAUCUACUUCUGGAAAGGAUGAUCAUAAGAUUGAUUUCUCAGAAGAAUGUCAGAAUGUUGAUAAUUGAAGUUGACUGAGGGGUCUGUGGCAAGACGGUUCUGGAUGGUAUUCCCUGGACAAUUUGGUCUCUCCUUAUUCCUGCUGGCUGCAGAUACUAACUGCAGAUCCUAACUGCUGAGCUGUCCACCUGGACCAGUGAUCCCCACCCAUCCCAGCCUGUCCUGCACAAUCAAUCCCAUCACACAGCAGACUCUACAGCAGUCCCAUGGUCAUUUCAUACAGCACUGACAAUUGAAGGCUACCAGGAAAGUCUACCCCAGAGCCUCUCUGCCUGAUUACCCUCUGUGCAGAAAAGAGUCACAGCAAGCCUAAGACUGCUAUCGUUAAGCCUGCUUACAAGGUUAUCUCAUGGCUAGUGUAUAGGACUUGGAUCGUGGGAGGAUUCCCACCAUAUUAACUAAAAAAUAAAUCACUGUCUCCCAA